rnacentral:rRNA from 13 species
GGCUCAGGACGAACGCUGGCGGCGUGCCUAAUACAUGCAAGUAGAACGCUGAAGGGAGAGCUUGCUCUUCUGGAUGAGUUGCGAACGGGUGAGUAACGCGUAGGUAACCUGCCUGGUAGCGGGGGAUAACUAUUGGAAACGAUAGCUAAUACCGCAUAAGAGUAGAUGUUGCAUGACAUUUGCUUAAAAGGUGCAAUUGCAUCACUACCAGAUGGACCUGCGUUGUAUUAGCUAGUAGGUGAGGUAAUGGCUCACCUAGGCGACGAUCCGUAACUGGUCUGAGAGGAUGAUCAGUCACACUGGAACUGAGACACGGUCCAGACUCCUACGGGAGGCAGCAGUGGGGAAUUUUCCG